rnacentral:rRNA from 1 species
AACGAACGCUGGCGGCGCGCCUAAUACAUGCAAGUCGAGCGAGAAGACGUAGCAAUACGUUUGUAAAGCGGCGAACGGGUGAGGAAUACAUGGGUAACCUACCCUCGAGUGGGGAAUAACUAGCCGAAGGUAGCUAAUACCGCGUACGCUCCUUGGACUUCGGUUCAGGGAGGAAAGACGAUACCGUGGGUAUCGCGCUCUUGGAUGGGCGUCAUGUCCUAUCAGCUUGUUGGUGAGGUAACGGCUCACCAAGGCUUCGACGGGUAGCUGGUCUGAGAGGACGAUCAGCCACACUGGCACUGCGACACGGG